rnacentral:rRNA from 1 species
GAUGAACGCUAGCGGCAGGCUUAAUACAUGCAAGUCGAGGGGUAGCAAGAUUGUAGCAAUACAAUUGUUGACGACCGGCAAACGGGUGCGGAACACGUACACAACCUUCCUACAAGUGGGGAAUAGCCCAGAGAAAUUUGGAUUAAUACCCCGUAACAUAGCGAUGUGGCAUCACAUUGCUAUUAUAGCUUCGGCGCUUGUUGAUGGGUGUGCGGCUGAUUAGAUAGUUGGCGGGGUAACGGCCCACCAAGUCUACGAUCAGUAGCUGAUGUGAGAGCAUGAUCAGCCACACGGGCACUGAGACACGGGCCCGACUCCUACGGGAGGCAGCAGUAAGGAAUAUUGGACAAUGGACGCAAGUCUGAUCCAGCCAUGCCGCGUGAAGGAUUAAGGUCCUCUGGAUUGUAAACUUCUUUUAUAUGGGACGAAAAAAGGUCUUUCUAGAUCGUCUGACGGUACCUUAUGAAUAAGCACCGGCUAACUCCGUGCCAGCAGCCGCCGUAAGAC